UUUAUGAGAAAUAAAGAAAAGAAAGAAACCAAAAGAAAGAAGAAACUGAAAAAGAAACUACAAAUUCCUCUUUCACUGCUCUAUCUUAAUUUCAUCCCUGCAGAGGAAGGUGUGUCCUGCAAGCUCUCACCUGAGCCCAUCCCUCUCUUCUCCCAACCUCCCAGCCUGCGAGAUCUCCCCUUCACGGUCCUCAGACUGUCCUUCCAACUUCAUCUGUAUACAGUUCUUACCAAUACAGUUAUUGGUGCAACAGGGAUGGCUCACAAUAUACAGAAAGGAGGAAAUUCCUUGUUGACACAGGUGAUCGGUGCUAAGUGGCCAAAAUUGAUAGAAUAAUAUCAGUGCUCUCCAGCUACCAAAAGCUGCCAAUUUCAACCUACCACAGUGAGGCUGCUUUCUCCAGCUCCGUGUUCCACAAAAAGUACACAAGAAGAAGGUCCCUCUGAAUUCAAUGGGAAGCACACACUUGUUAUGGUGCUUAGGAUCCGCACAUGCAAACCAUCACUGGAUGUGUGUUUCAACUGGCAAUGAACAUUCUUGUGAGAACCAGAUGGGGGAGUGGAAUAUCUGCUACAACCGCAGGCAUUUGAAAGCUUAGUCCUGAACACAAAAAAGCCAUUUCAAGACUUCCCACUACAGAACAUCAUGUUUCAUCUCUUGUCAACCAGCAAUCAAGGAUGGCAAUAAUGGUGACCAAGGAGGCAAUAGAAAAGCUGCUCCUCUGCAGGCAAGUAGAAGUUGAACAACUGCUGAAGUUUUUCUCCACUGCCGCAGUUUUUUCCAUGCCAGGAAAAGUCAUGUUGCUUGCUCUUGCAAAUUAGAAGUGAAAGCAUGAAAGGCACGGAGGUCAACAUUAGAUGGCGCUGGAGCCCAAUGACAAGGGGAGCUAACUAAUUCUAGUUUUGUCUUGAUCUUCCUCUCUGUUGAGUUCUAUACAGGCAACAGGGAGAAUAAGGAGGAUGAAGCUCGAAGGCAGUGUCAGGCCCCUAGGUAGUUUGAAAAUAAGAAGGCAGGCAAGUUAGGUAGCUAGCUGAGGACAAAUCGAGGUGAUAGGACACCAACCCAUCUGCCUUCAUUGACCAACCUCAACUAGUCCCUUGAAAUUCUUUCAGGUAAUGAUUUAAGCAUGCAGGAACCAUGUCAGGAAAAGGUAAGGAGCUGAGCAUUAUGAGCAGUAGCGUUCAUCAUUGCAACAUGUGCCAGAUGACAAUUUGCAGUCUCAACAGUGUGCUCUCCCUGUCAGAAACAACAAUAACAAAGUGCGGGGGAUCAUGGCCACAUGGACAGAGUUCCUCCCGGAUUUUCAGAGGACUAAUUUCUAACUGGACAGAACCUUAAAAUAGCAAACUGUUCAGAAUAACAGGGGACACCUGGCCAACGUAUUUCUAGAUCUAACUGGAGAUGCCAAACAUUGGGCCUGCAACUUUCUGUAUGCAUAGCAUGUGCUCUACCACUGAGCGAUGGAACUGCCCUGAACUUCUUACCAAGUGUGAAGAAAUGGAGUUUCCCAGCCCUGCAGAAAUCCAAGCAUCUACAACAGGGGCAUUGGGUCAACCUGGUAGCUGGCCCAUCUAUCUGCUAUUACCUUCCUAAACUAAGCUAUGGAGUCUCCACUCUUGGAAACUGGCUCCAGGAGUCUAUCAGCGCCCCACUGCUGUGUUUUCUGCCCUGCAUGCAGAGCAACAGUUUGCCAGCAAUUUGCAAAAUUAAAGUUAGAACAAACAGUUUGUUCAGGUGGAGCCAUUAAAUCUGCUGCUGUUGCAGGUCUCGAAACUACUGGAAGCAGUGAAAGCUGGAAGGAGAUUUGGAAUAGAUCGCCCAAUAAACUGGUGUAUUUAUUUACAUUGGCAUGGUUUUCUGCUGUAGGGAACCCUGUUCCAAGAGGUGUUAGUCUGGGCAUGGUCAGCACUGGCAUAGAGUUUACAUAAAAUGAAGAUUCGGGAGAUUACUGGGCACAAGAACAGGCUUCAGGAACAUUAUAAAUGUUAAAGCACUUAAGAAUGUUAAGCCAGCAAGAUUGCCGUUUGCUCUGAGCAUUCUAAACACCUCUUUGGAAAAGAGAGUUUUGGCAUUUGUUCUGGAACGGCCAAGACAGUGUCUCAUUGUCCUCAGGGACUGGGCUGUGAGAUGGCCGGCAGCCACUGAUGAUAUGUUUGGCAGAGACCUCUAUAGUUUUCAGAGACCAAUUGUUUGCUAGGACCCAACAUUGCCACUGUUCAAGCUGUGAACCAAACUACGUGAAGACAGAAAUCCCACGUUAACCCCAGAAGCUCAGCCAUCGUUGCUGAGCUAAACUGUUCCACUUGCCCCCAUUGUCUGUCUUCUGCUGGCAUUGAAUGCGGUGCACACUUAGCAGAGCCUCUUUCCAACAUGAUUCAUUGGAGGGGGUCUCUCUCGCUCACCCCAGUUCCUUGCACAACUGUUUCACAUACUGCUGGAAUUAUUAUACUGGUUCAAUAUGUUUGAGAGUACACAAUGGCAUAUCUCCUCUCAGAGACUGUUCUUUAAUUAUUAUUUUUUAAUUAUGUUCCCCAUGCCCUGUGCUUGCAUGUAAACUGACUACGAAGGUUUGAGAGCUGAAGCUGGUUUGUGCCUAGUGUAUUUUGCAAGAUCAGGUCCAAUACUAAUAAGAAUCAGUUAUUCAGAGACUUAAAAAAACAACCUAUCUGCUGAUAAAUGAUUAUACCCAACCUGCAAAUUCCAGGAACCUAGCUAUUAAUGAUAAGAUGGGGAAUAUGGAGGAGAAAUGAUUUUGAGGAGAUAUGGAAGAUUUGCAGAAUUUGUACUGUUAAAACGGAAAGGGGUCAAACCAUCGCGAGAGAUGUUGACAUUUUGGGAAGUUGAAUAGUUACAAUGGAGUGGUCUUGGGGAUGGGGGUGCAUAUUU